GGGUAUAUAUAUUGAUCAAUUGGGACUGCUCUGGCAAUAGACGCUGUGCGUUCACAGAGAGAGGGCACCUGCUGGACAGGAGUCGCAAACAUGAAGACCGCCACAUCACUGAUCCUCCUCGUUUGCUGUUGGUCUAUGGCAAUGGUCCAUGGACAAAAGAGACCCACUUUACCGAGCAUGACCGGAGCUUCAUUUGGUCAAAAAUCCAAGCCCCCAACGACU